UGCUCCACUUUCUGGUGCAUAUCACGGAAGCCCUGGCCUUGACUCUGUUGUCCUUGCUGACCUUGUUGGCCCUGUUGUCCCUGGCCUUGACCCUGGUGGCCUUGGCCCUGACCUUGUUGUCCCUGGCCCUGACCUUCUCCGAAGGGGCUACCACCGCCUGGUUGAAACACUGAUGAGUCCUGGAAUGUCUCGGCGCAUCCAGGGACCACUCUCCCCAUAAGACCUUCUCCUAUAAUGUAACAAACCAAAAAAAAAAAAUUUAGUGCGCAGUUCUGUGAACAUCGACCAUAUAUUUAGGUUAUAAAUUAAACAAAAAAAUAUUAUAAUGUAUUUGAUCAAAACCUUAGCACGUGUAUAGUGAUAUACUUACUACAACACUUUUCUCAAAAGACUGAACCUUAAAGAUCACGAAUUUGAAUCUCGAUACUCAUAUAGUAUCAAAAUCAGAUUCACGUACCUUUAGCCACGAAGGAGAGCUUCGCGGUGCUAAAGAAAGAGGGCAAGUAGAGACCCUUAGACUCGAUGAUGUAACGUACAAAG
rnacentral:lncRNA from 1 species